GACGAACGCUGGCGGCGUGCUUAACACAUGCAAGUCGAACGGAAAGGCCCCUUUGGGGGUACUCGAGUGGCGAACGGGUGAGUAACACGGGAGUAACCUGCCCUUGACUUCGGGAUAACUUCAGGAAACUGGGGCUAAUACCGGAUAGGAAUCCUUGCUGCAUGGUGGGGGUUGGAAAGCUUCGGCGGUUUUGGAUGGACUCGCGGCUUAUCAGCUUGUUGGUGGGGUAGUGGCUUACCAAGGCUUUGACGGGUAGCCGGCCUGAGAGGGCGACCGGCCACAUUGGGACUGAGAUACGGCCCAGACUCCUACGGGAGGCAGCAGUGGGGAAUAUUGCACAAUGGGCGGAAGCCUGAUGCAGCAACGCCGCGUGCGGGAUGACGGCCUUCGGGUUGUAAACCGCUUUCAGCAGGGGCGAAGCUUGUGGUGACGGUACCUGCAGAAGAAGCACCGGCUAACUACGUG
rnacentral:rRNA from 1 species